rnacentral:rRNA from 1 species
CCUGAAAAUGGAUGGCGCUGAAGCGGGUGGCCGACACCACGCCGUCUGGUAAAGAAUUAUGAUCAGAUGAGUAGGAGGGCGUGGCGGUUGUAUCGAAGGGUAUGUGCAGACAUGCCUGGAACGGCCGCUAGUGCAGAUCUUGGUGGUAGUAGCAAGUAUUCAAGCGAGAUCCUUGAAGGGCGAAGCGGGGAAGGGUUCCACGCGAACAUUGAUUGGGCGUGGGUGAGUCGUUCCUAAGCCGAGUGGCGAUUGCUAAGUAGCGGCGAAAGGGAAGCUGGUUGACAUUCCAGCACACGGAUGUGGAGGCGGUGACGCAUAUUGGGACGAACACGCUGGCGGUGGCGCUGGGCAGAGUUGUCUUUUCUGUUUGACUCUUGCGCGCGCGGUGUGGAAUCCGCUUGUCGGGAGAAACACGCGUGUCGAGGCAGAGCGCCGGGGCUUUUCCGGCGUCCAGCUCGCCACCGACGGCCCUUGAAACUUUGUCUGCUUAAAUCCACGCCGUGGCGUACCGAUCACCGCAUCAGGUCCCCAAGGUGAACAGCCUCUGCUCUAUAUGAACAAUGCAGGUAAGGGAAGUCGGCAAAUUAGACCCGUAACUUUGGGAUAAGGGUUUCUAGUGCUGCGUGGGAGUGGUUGCCCGCGGUUGGAGGAGUUGGCGAGGCUGGCUUGGCGCGGUGCCGGCUGCUGAGCUGGUUUUUCGGCGGUGGGCGACGCCC